CUAAGAAUCUUCCGCAAUGGACGAAAGUCUGACGGAGCGACGCCGCGUGAACGAUGAAGGCCGAGAGGUUGUAAAGUUCUUUUCUUGAGGAAGAAUAACAUAAGCAGGAAAUGGCUUAUGGAUGACGUUAACCAAGGAAUAAGCCCCGGCUAAUUACGUGCCAGCAGCCGCGGUAACACGUAAGGGGCGAGCGUUGUUCGGAAUUAUUGGGCGUAAAGGGCGCGCAGGCGGCCUAUUAAGCUUGGUGUGAAAUACCGCAGCUCAACUGCGGAAACGCGCUGGGAACUGGUAGGCUAGAGUUUUGGAGGGGGAGUUGGAAUUCCUGGUGUAGGGGUGAAAUCUGUUGAUAUCAGGAAGAACACCGGUGGCGAAGGCGAACUCCUGGACAUAAACUGACGCUGAGGCGCGAAAGCGUAGGGAGCGAACA
rnacentral:rRNA from 1 species